rnacentral:rRNA from 1 species
GCAAGUCGAGCGGAUCGAUGGGAGCUUGCUCCCUGAGAUCAGCGGCGGAGGGAGAGUAACACGUGGGUAACCUGCCUGUAAGACUGGGAUACCUCCGGGAAACCGGGGCUAAUACCGGAUAACACCUACCCCCGCAUGGGGGAAGGUUGAAAGGUGGCUUCGGCUAUCACUUACAGAUGGACCCGCGGCGCAUUAGCUAGUUGGUGAGGUAAUGGCUCACCAAGGCGACGAUGCGUAGCCGACCUGAGAGGGUGAUCGGCCACACUGGGACUGAGACACGGCCCAGACUCCUACGGGAGGCAGCAGUAGGGAAUCUUCCGCAAUGGACGAAAGUCUGACGGAGCAACGCCGCGUGAGUGAAGAAGGUUUUCGGAUCGUAAAACUCUGUUGUUAGGGAAGAACAAGUGCCGUUCGAAUAGGGCGGCGCCUUGACGGUACCUAACCAGAAAGCCACGGCUAACUACGUGCCAGCAGCCGCGGUAAUACGUAGGUGGCAAGCGUUGUCCGGAAUUAUUGGGCGUAAAGCGCGCGCAGGUGGUUUCUUAAGUCUGAUGUGAAAGCCCACGGCUCAACCGUGGAGGGGUCAUUGGAAACUGGGGAACUUGAGUGCAGAAGAGGAAAGUGGAAUUCCCAAGUGUAGCGGGUGAAAUGCGUAGAUAUUUGGAGGAACACCAGUGGCGAAGGCGACUUUUCUGGGUCUGUAACUGACACUGAGGCGCGAAAAGCGUGGGGAGCAAACAGGAUUAGAUACCCUUGGUAGUCCACGCCGAAAACGAAUGAGGUGCUAAAGUGGUUAGAGGGUUUCCGCCCCUUAGGUUGCUGCAGCUAACGGCAUUAAAGCACU